UCCCUGGUGGUCCAGUGGUUAGGACUCUGUGCUUCUACUGCAGGGAGCACAAGUUUGAUCCCUGGUUGGGGAG
rfam:TPA: Bos taurus chromosome X, whole genome shotgun sequence.